rnacentral:rRNA from 1 species
UACGUAGGUGGCAAGCAUUGUCCGGAAUUACUGGGUGUAAAGGGAGCGCAGGCGGGAAGCCAAGUCAGCUGUGAAAACUACGGGCUUAACUUGUAGACUGCAGUUGAAACUGGUUUUCUUGAGUGAAGUAGAGGUUGGCGGAAUUCCGAGUGUAGCGGUGAAAUGCGUAGAUAUUCGGAGGAACACCGGUGGCGAAGGCGGCCAACUGGGCUUUAACUGACGCUGAGGCUCGAAAGUGUGGGGAGCAAACAGG